UACGUAGGGUGCAAGCGUUGUCCGGAAUCAUUGGGCGUAAAGCGCGUGUAGGCGGCUUGCUAAGUCCGCUCUGAAAGCCCGGGCCUAACCCGGAAAGCGCAGAGGGUACUGCCAGGCUAGAGGACGGGAGAGGAGCGCGGAAUUCCCGGUGUAGCGGUGAAAUGCGUAGAGAUCGGGAAGAACAUCGGUGGCGAAAGCGCUCUACUGGACCGCAACUGACACUCAGGGACGAAAGCUAGGGGAGCGAAUGGG
rnacentral:rRNA from 1 species